rnacentral:lncRNA from 1 species
GAAGCCAUGCUGGCUUCAAAUACAGUGAAUACAAGGAAUGUGGGGACAUUUAUAGAAUUAGCUGUUAAAGCUCAUCAGAGAGUCCCUGUAGGUCUGAAAUCCUGUGACGAUGAAGACUCAGGAAAAGCCUUUAUUGCAAAUGGGUGAGCUUAUACAGCCUGAGAAAAUCCAUACUCUCCAGGAGGCCUGCGAGUGUAGGCAAGGAGGACAAGCCAGUGGAUGAAAAUGUGACUGGACACCAGAGAACUCAUAUUGGGAAGGUUGUGACUUAAAAGAAUGUGGGAACUUUAAUCUGUCCUGGGAAUUGGUCAACAUCAAAAGAAUUCAUGUACUGUUGCUGCCAAGAAACCCUUUGGAAUGGGUAUGUGGAAAGUCGGUUGUUCAGAGAAGAUACUCUGUUGCGAAUGUCUUUUAUUGUCAGAAAUACAAUGUAGUAAUCAUGAUUUACUCUCAUCUUGCUAGUUGUAUAAACUUAACUCACUCAUUAGUCACCAAGGGCUGUCAACUAAGGGGGAGCAGUUACUGCAACUGUGUUUGCCGGAGAUGCUCCCCACCCCCCAUGGUUCCUGAGAUGGUGGAGCACAUGUUUACUUUUUGCAUAAUUUGUUAAUGGCCAGCACAGGACCAGCCAAAGUUAUGGCAACAGAGUUAUAAUAGAAAAUAAAGUCCUUGACAAUAUUGGUCAGUGCCCAUGUUCUAUAAUACAGCUUUUACAUAGUUCUAGUUUCAUGAGCAUUAGCAUAACUGACAUGGAAGCCUGAUUGCACUGUAGAUAGUUUAGGAAAGUCUCAUGCUUUUACCCACUGUUAAGUUUUAAAUAACUUUAUUCUGAAUACUUGUAAUGGAUGGUUAGGAACUUGAAAGUAUUUGAAUUGUGAGUCCAUUUCUUAAGUAUUUGUGUGUAAAGUUUUAAAACAAUCAUUGAUGAAUAAGAACUUUCUAAAAAGAGUAAAAACUAUAAAAAGUUCAAAAGUUAAAAUCCUAUUAUUUGUGCCCUCUCCACACAUGAAGAUAAACUAUAUUUGUGAUAGGACAAGAAAGUUUUUGGAUCUUCAAUCUCUCUCUCUCUCUCUCUCUCUCUUUUUUUUUUUUUUUUUUUUUUUUUUUUUUGGUUUUUUGAGACAGGGUUUCUUUGUAUAGCCCUGGCUGUCCUGGAACUCACUUUGUAGACCAGGCUGGCCUCGAACUCAGAAGUCCGCCUGCCUCUGCCUCCGGAGUGCUGGGAUUAAAGGCGUGUACAUCCUCGCCCAGCCAAUCUCUUAUUUCUGAGAACAUUUUAACUUCAACUAGAAUUUGAUUCCCUCGAUGGAGAAUCUCAUGGUAUAUCCAAUUCUACUAGAGGUCAAAUUGCCUCUGAUAAUUUAUUGUGACUUCUUUUUAAACCUCCCACUCCAGCUAUCUGUUUAUCUUCAUACUAUUAAACUGCCUGCUUGGGCAAAAGCUCCCCCUGCAGCUGCUGAGCAAGAUAAUAGAAUGUGGGUUUGUUCUAAAUGCUUGGGAUUAUACUCCGGUCCCAAAUACCUGAAUGUACUCAGAGCUGGCUGGAAUAAAGCCUUUCAUUUGGCUCUACACUGUGUCUGAGUGGGCAUCUCUAGUGAGCAACCUGUAACACCUUUACAAAAUAGCCAGAGUGAAACUACUUAUAAAAAAAUAUAUGUGUGUUGUGGCCAGUCAGCAGCUCGCAACGAACGGUUCUACUGAGAUGGCAACUCGGGCUGAAAGAGAAGAACUAGACGGGCGGAAGAAAGAACGAAGCCAAGUCAAAAGUCUGAUCAAAGCUCCAUUUUUACUGUUGCAACACUCAGUUAUGAAGGAAGGGGGAGGGGACCCGAUUCCCGCCAAAUAAUCUCGGAUCCAGUAGCAGGGUGAGCACGUGAUGGCUUCAGAACAGCAAGGCGGCAGGUUCUAGCAGUGGGCAUGGCAGAACGAAUGAGCAGGAAGCUCCACCCCAGAACAAGCAGGUUUCAGGCUGGGGGAGGGGAGACUACAUAUGUGCAAUUUUUCAUCCAUGUUGAAAGCUUGGAAUAUUCAAUACACAUCUGUAUCCUCACCUAGAUUGAAAAUUGUCAACAAUUUACAAGGUUGAUCCUGUUUUUCUGUGUAUAUAGGUUUGGGGAUGCACCAUUAAUAUGUUUUAGAACUGAAUAUGGCAAAGCAUAUCUGAAUCCUAGUUAUUAUAAAGAUGAAUUAGGAGAAUCAAGAGUUGGAGGCAAGGGGCUGGAGAGAUGGCUCAGUAGUUAAGAGCACUGACUGCUCUUCCAGAGGUCAUGAGUUCAAUUCCCAGGAACCACAUUGUGGCUCACAGCCAUCUGUAAUGGGAUCUGAUGCUCUAUUCUGGUGUGUCUGAUGAUAUCUACUCACAUAAAUAAAUAAAUAAAUAAAAAACAAAUAAAUAAAUAAAUCUUAAUUAAAAAGAGUUGGAGGCAAGCCUAGCUAUAUAAUGACUUUAAGUCCAGUUAAGGCAUUAUAGAGACCCCUAUAUUU